CCGGGCCGCCCCGCACCGCGUCUCCCUCCCCGCAUUCCCCGCGGCUGCCCCGCGUCCCGUCCUGUGACUCCGUGCCGGAGCCGGUGCUCGCCGCCCGCCUCCUCAGCCAUACUGGUGCGGUACUGGCGCGAUACUGGCGGCACUGGGCUCGCAGAACUUCUCAGCUGCGUUGCACUUCGAUUUGAGUUUAGCCCAGGAACUCCUGCAGCAUUGGUUAAUCCUCGAGGAGGGAGAACUGCUGAGAUCUUUAGCGAGCUCUCCCCUACCACGGAUACUUCCUAUAGCUCCAGCGUCUCUGUGAGGGAUGUACAGCUACGAGAUGUGAAGAUCUUUCAGAUUCUUCUGACCAGGGGAACUUCGUGGGGUUGCUUCUGCUGUGUUCACCCACGGACAAGCUCAGCUGCUGCUUAAGUUCUCCGGAUGCACUGGAGGUGUUGAAAGUUGGGGUCAGCUCUAGCAAUGCCAACCCAACCCUGGUGUCCUGAUGUGUCCCCACCACAGGGAUUCCAAGAGAAAGCAGCAGCGACAGGGAAUGUUUGCCUCCAGGCCUGUUUGCCAGUGCAAAAGUGUUGCGACCUGCUGAUGGAGACAGGUUAUGUAUCGUUACAGCAUAAAUUAUGGAAAGGGCUGGAAUUUCUGUUUGAGCAGCUUCAUGAAAAACUGAACUUUGACUGAACACAAACAGCAAAUAAAGCGGGAAACGAGAUAAAAAAUGAUGCAGGCCUUAGUUUCUUUGAAGGUGAAAUGACUGAUCCCAGGUGUCAGCACCUCAGAGACCUGCUCAGCCUUUUAUAGGACUCUUGGACAGUUUAUAGACACCAGCUGACAGCUGUAAAGUUCACCUGAAGCUGUUCAGAAGUUUAAAACACCUCAUUACAAUUUAUCUGGAACUAUUAAUGCACAAAAAGGCAAAAAUUGACUAGAGUGGCUGAGGAACUCUUCUGUCCUGUCUUUAAAAAGUGGAUGUAAACCUGUCAGCUUUUACAGCUGUCCUCACACUGCUUCAACUAAACAUAUAUUUGGAGAGGAGAUCUGGCAUUUCUCUCCCAGCCCAGAGUCCUGCUGCUCCUGGUGCCAGGUCCAGAGCAGGGACAGGGUGUGAGGCAGCUUCUGCAGCAUCAGCAGCAUCAGCUUCAUCAACAUCAUCAACAUCAGUGGCAUCAGCAGGAUCAACAUCUUCAUUCCUUCCCAAGAAAAGUACUGAUACCUCA